rnacentral:misc_RNA from 1 species
ACACCUUUUCACCAUCUAUCGAGCAUACAUUUUAAAUUUCAAGUCUCUUACUUCAAAAACAUAGGACUUUCAUACAAACUUCAAACCCCCGUUUUACCCCCUUAGGGGUCGAGUUUCGUAAAAUCCGUUCUUAGCGGAUGCCUACGUCUUAUAAGGAGCUUACCUGCCAAAUUUCAAGUUUGUAGGUGUUAUAGUUUGGGAGAUUUCGUGAUGAGUGAG